rnacentral:rRNA from 1 species
UGGGGAAUUUUGGACAAUGGGCGCAAGCCUGAUCCAGCAAUGCCGCGUGAGUGAAGAAGGCCUUCGGGUUGUAAAGCUCUUUCAGUCGAGAAGAAAAGGCUGCAGUGAAUAACUGUAGUUUAUGACGGUAUCGACAGAAGAAGCACCGGCUAACUACGUGCCAGCAGCCGCGGUAAUACGUAGGGUGCGAGCGUUAAUCGGAAUUACUGGGCGUAAAGGGUGCGCAGGCGGUUUUGUAAGUCAGAUGUGAAAUCCCCGGGCUUAACCUGGGAAUUGCGUUUGAAACUACAAGACUAGAGUGUGGCAGAGGGAGGUGGAAUUCCAUGUGUAGCAGUGAAAUGCGUAGAGAUAUGGAAGAACAUCGAUGGCGAAGGCAGCCUCCUGGGUUAACACUGACGCUCAUGCACGAAAGCGUGGGGAGCAAACAGGAUUAGAUACCCUGGUAGUCCACGCCCUAAACGAUGUCAACUAGUUGUCGGGCCUUACUAGGCUUGGUAACGAAGCUAACGCGUGAAGUUGACCGCCUGGGGAGUACGGUCGCAAGAUUA